UAGGGAAUCUUCGGCAAUGGACGAAAGUCUGACCGAGCAACGCCGCGUGAGUGAAGAAGGUUUUCGGAUCGUAAAACUCUGUUGUUAGAGAAGAACAAGGACGUUAGUAACUGAACGUCCCCUGACGGUAUCUAACCAGAAAGCCACGGCUAACUACGUGCCAGCAGCCGCGGUAAUACGUAGGUGGCAAGCGUUGUCCGGAUUUAUUGGGCGUAAAGCGAGCGCAGGCGGUUUCUUAAGUCUGAUGUGAAAGCCCCCGGCUCAACCGGGGAGGGUCAUUUGAAACUGGGAGACUGGAGUGCAGAAGAGGAGAGUGGAAUUCCAUGUGUAGCGGUGAAAUGCGUAGAUAUAUGGAGGAACACCAGUGGCGAAGGCGGCUAUCUGGUCUGUAACUGACGCUGAGGCGCGAAAGCGUGGGGAGCAAACAGG
rnacentral:rRNA from 1 species